rnacentral:rRNA from 1 species
CAGUAGCCGCGGUAAUACGAGGGGGGCAAGCGUUAAUCGGAUUUACUGGGCGUAAAGGGCGCGUAGGUGGUUAUGUAAGUGAGAUGUGAAAUCCCCGGGCUCAACCUGGGAACUGCAUCUUAUACUGCGUAGCUGGAGUGCAGUAGAGGGUAGUGGAAUUUCCGGUGUAGCGGUGAAAUGCGUAGAUAUCGGAAGGAACACCAGUGGCGAGGCGGCUACCUGGACUGACACUGACACUGAGGCGCGAAAGCGUGGGGAGCAAACAGGAUUAGAUACCCCCGUAGUCCCUGUCUCUUAUACA